CAUUAGAUGGCUGAAAGAAAGUAUUGGUCUCUUAAACCAUUUUAUAGUAGGUUAACGUCUACUUCUAAUGA
rnacentral:tRNA from 1 species